CAGAGACUGCAAGCGUUACUCGGAUUCACUGGGCGUAAAGGGAGCGCAGGCGGACCGGUGUGUCAGAUGUGAAACCCCAGGGCUCAACCCUGGGACUGCGUCUGAAACUGCCGGUCUAGGGACUCGGAGGGGCUAGUGGAAUUCCUGGUGGAGCAGUGAAAUGCGUAGAUAUCAGGAGGAACACCAACGGCGAAGGCAGCUAGCUGGACGAGAUCCGACGCUCAGGCUCGAAAGUAUGGGGAGCAAAAAGGAUUAGAUACCCUUGUAGUCCAUACUGUAAACGUUGUUGAUUAGGUCUUGGGGCAUUCGAACGCCCCAGGGCUCAAGCUAACGCAAUAAAUCAACCGCCUGAGGACUACGGCCGCAAGGCUA
rnacentral:rRNA from 1 species